rnacentral:rRNA from 1 species
CACGUAGGGUGCGAGCGUUGUCCGGAAUUAUUGGGCGUAAAGAGCUCGUAGGCGGUGUGUCACGUCGGCCGUGAAAACCUGCAGCUUAACUGUGGGCGUGCGGUCGAUACGGGCAUCACUGGAGUUCGGCAGGGGAGACUGGAAUUCCUGGUGUAGCGGUGAAAUGCGCAGAUAUCAGGAGGAACACCGGUGGCGAAGGCGGGUCUCUAGGGCCGAUACUGACGCUGAGGAGCGAAAGCGUGGGGAGCAAACAGG